ACUCGUGAAACUCUCCUUCCCCUUCACGCAUCUUCUGAGCUCUGAAAUCACACACUUAUUCUCAGGAAUCAUCAAGGAGCACUCAUUCUCAGCUAGGAAACCACCACAAAUCGCAAUGGUGUUCUCUAUUUCUCUAUGAGAGAGACGUUAUGAAUAUAUCCGUUGAAGCAACACAAGCAAGUGAACACCCUCCAAAGAUGCGAUCAAACCCAUUCCUGUUUCUGAUUUCUGAGAUCGAGAGGGAGGGAGGGAGGAUGGUGGAAGCUCUGCAACGGCGGACAUGACUUCGUGCUCUGGACGGUGGUGGAAGCUCUCACCAUCGCACCCGCGUCCAUCCACCUGUUUUACCUCUUGACGACCUUGUAAAUUUGGAUCUUCAGAUAGAUAUGGUGUUCCCUUACCGAACUAGCAAGAAGGACAGUCGUUAUACUGAGAAAGAUGCAGCAGUGGUUGUAAGGCAAAUGCUUAAGGUUGCGGUUGAGUAUCAUUUACAUGGUUUAGUACAACGGGACAUGAAACCAGAGGGUUCUGCAGAAGUAGUCUUCUCACGACGAGAACAAUGUUCAACUAGAUGAGAUUGUGGGAACUAAUGUUUCUUCACCCAGGGUGACCCUGCUGUAAAUGGAGCUUUUUGAGUUCCUCAAAGGAUGAUAAUCUUCCACGGUCUCUAGCAAAUCUGAAAAUCGAGAUGAUGAUGUCAAAGCGGCGAGAUGCUCCUCCUCCUCUUGUGCAUAAUCAUUAUCUUCACACACUGUGAUGACCACGAGCUUCACGUUUAUGUUCCUUAUGAGACGCCCUUCGCUGUUUGGUGUCAUCAUAACCCUAGCACAUUCACCUAUGUGAUGUAGAACUGUGUCUAAUACGUUGGGAUUAAUAGUACGCAUUUGUGAGGAGAAUAAUUGAUGGAGGUAUCUAGCGUCAUCAUCCCAGGCUAAGAUUGUGUGCUCAUUACAAUUGCGCAACAUGUCACAAGGGAUCCAGAAGAUGCGUUCAUAUGUAACUACAGAUCUACUAGUUGUGGGGUGAACUGUAUGUUUGCAGUGAAAAGAAAUGUUGAAAUAAUCUCUAGCCGGACUAUCUUGAGCGAUGGAAUGACUUGCAGGCCUUACACCCAAGAAAUAAGUUGAGGACUCCAUUGCCAAGUGAUCAAUAAUCUGUUGUAACAGGAUAGGACGAGAAAGAGCGAGUAAGGGUUUUAACUUUUAAUCUUAUGAGUUGAAUUUAAUAGGUUUUCACAUAAA